UAUCCAUGUGGAGGGCAUCUUAUCAACAACUCCUUAAAUCUCUCCCAACUUUCGGAAAACUUCUCAUCCUCCUCCUGAGUGAAAGAACUAAUAUCCUUUCUGCAUUCA